rnacentral:rRNA from 1 species
GUUAGGAAUAUUGGACAAUGGGCGAAAGCCUGACGCAGCAACGCCGCGUGCGGGAUGAAGGCCUUCGGGUUGUAAACCGCUUUCAGCAGGGACGAAAAUGACGGUACCUGCAGAAGAAGCUCCGGCUAACUACGUGCCAGCAGCCGCGGUAAUACGUAGGGAGCAAGCGUUGUCCGGAUUUAUUGGGCGUAAAGAGCUCGUAGGCGGUUUCGUAAGUCGAGUGUGAAAAAUCUGGGCUUAACCCAGUGGAGCACUCGAUACUGCGAUGACUUGAGUCUGGUAGAGGAGUGUGGAAUUCCUGGUGUAGCGGUGAAAUGCGCAGAUAUCAGGAGGAACACCAACGGCGAAGGCAGCACUCUGGGCCAGUACUGACGCUGAGGAGCGAAAGCGUGGGGAGCAAACAGGAUUAGAUACCCCGGUAGUUCC